UGAGGCUGCAGAGGACAGAUGUGCUCAUUACCCAGCCAAUUUAUAGCAUCACAGCAGACUAUCACAUGUCUAUAUUGGUGUUCCUUACAUUGCCUAGCAUAUAUGGAUUAUUAUUCUUAUAAAGGUUUCCAAGCAUAAAGGAAAAUGUGAAGUAUUUUUAGCUCCUUGUUACUUAUGCAAAUUUCUGCAGCUGGCUUGAAUUCCUCCCCAGAAAAUGGGUUUUCCUUUUUUAUCACAUGAUCAGGCUGCAAAUUUUCCAAACCUUUAUUCUCUGCUUCCCUUUUAGACAUAAGUUCCCAUUUCAAACCAUCUCUUUGUGAACACAUAUAACUGAACGCUUUCAGAAUAAGCCAGGUCACAUCUUGAAUGUUUUGCUGCUUAGAAAUUUCUUCCACAAGAUACCCUAAAUCAUCUCUCUCAAGUUCAAAAUUCCACAUAUCUUUAGGGCAGGGGCAAAAUGCUGCCAGUCUCUUUGCUAAAGCAUAGGAAGAGUGACCUUUGCUCUACUUCCUAAUAUGUUCCUCAUC
rnacentral:lncRNA from 1 species